rnacentral:lncRNA from 1 species
AAAGGGAUUGCCAUAUUGAAUUAAAAUAUUGUAAAACAGUUAAAAAUCUAAUCUUGCAACAGUUCUUCACAUGAACAACAUAAUUUGCUUGACUUGGAAUCAAUAUAUCAUCACAUAAUUGCGCUGUCACAUAACAGCAACAUAUUCUCUUACAUCAGCAUGACUUGGAACAUAGAGAAAAGUCCUAGGCAAGACAUGCGUAUAUUUAAGCAUGCUGAGAAUACAUAAGCAUGCUUAACUAUUUAUGCAACAUAGAAAAAAGCAUGCUGAGAAUACAUAAGCAUGCUUAACUAUUUAUGCAAUAUAGAAAAAAGCAUCACUUGAUGUUCUGCAUGCUUAACUAUUGUUGGAAGAGUACAUGACAGGAGCAUAAAUUCCAACCAUAAGACAGCAGUAGCACAGACACAAAAGCAACCGAGACUCUCAAACAGACGAUUUCGAGGGACCCUGCCAACGUCACAUUCUUCCUCUGCUUGUUCCACUUCUCAACCUGGUUCAGUGGGACCUGGAGGGAAAACAAAAUUCAUGUCAGCAAACAAAGAGACUUUUCCCUUGCAUAAACAACAAUGAUCAGAUAUAUUUCAAGGAAUUAUAUGAAAUGGAUCAUCGACCUAAAAUCUUACUGUACAUUAUUACUACUAUCAAGAGCACAACUGCAUGGCAGAGAUUUUUUAACAACAACUAUAGAUCGUGCAUAUGGAACCGUAGCGCCUCCAUCACAAAAUACAAAAUUAAAAAGUGAACAAAGGCAAGCUCCGUUCAACUUCAGAGACUGUAGACUGUUUGCAAAGGGAAAAGUACAAUGAAGAAAUAGUAUGAAUUAUUUCAUGGCCUUGUUAGAGUUACAUCAAGAGGUACAGAACUACUUCCAGAUUAAAUCAAAUAGUAACAAACACAAAAGCAAGAAGAAUCUGAUGUGACACGCAAGUAACGUUGAACAUUUACUGGGCAGUCCCAUGAAUAUUUCUUCAGACCAACAAGCAGCGAGAGAUUACACAUUCAUAACACAAUCCAUUGCUCCAAAAUCAGCCAACUACAUACAGAAUACAGAAACUUCCAGACCGAACAGUUUUUUCGUGGAAGAGAAAACUCACAACAAAGUCUGAUGAGCAAACAAUUUAUGAUGCACUGUAGAGUGAGUUAUUGCACUACUGGAGGCAGCACAUUUAGUUAGUGCUGAUCCAAGCCAAGGAAACGAACGAUUUAGUCUAAAUACACCCACUGUCCAUUACUCCAAUGGCUGAGAAGAAGCUAAUCCCCUUUGGGCUGUGGAAGAAACAUGUAUCAUAUCUAAGCUAGCAUAGGUGCUCUCGAUCCAGCAAGAACAACUAUACUCUAUAUUACUUAAACAAACAUGUAUCAUCACUGUUCCUUUAUUGCCAAACACUGAUUCCACUCGGAAAUUUUGUAAAAUUUUACAAACAGGUAUCCUUAAAACCCAUUUGUAAAAUUUUGCCGAGUGAUCUCAUCUCGGAAACAUCAUAAUGCACACCAGCAAAGCCAGUGAAUCUCUCUGUCCCGGUUGACCUGUGCGGCGGGACGAUUCACUUUGCUAUGUCAGUCGCUAGUGCAAGGACAAAUCUAAAUCAGAGUAUACAGUAUAUACAAAUACAAAUCAGAACAAGCACCCAAAUCAGAGUAUACAGUAUAUACAAAUACAAAUGACAAAGAAAGGAAGGCAGUAGAUUUGUUCAUGAAUUAGUAAACAGCGGCUACAAACAAGAAAGAUGUCGUUUAGACUUCAGAUACCACAACAUCAGACCAUCACUAAUUAACAGCUCUACACCACACUUCAAUCACCAUCAACAUCAGAUCACCACCUACGGUGAAAAAUGUAGUUUACAAACUGUCAAUCCCCCAAGAUCCAUCAGACCAUCACCAUCACCAUCAGAAAAUCACGGCAAUCUCGCCGGGUAGGGUUAGGGUCGAUGAGGGGCUAGAAGAGGACAACGUUCUUGGCGAGCUCGCCGGGUAGGGUUAGGACAGAGGUGGGGAGAGGAGGGGAGAGGCGGCGAUGACUUACCGCCAGGGAGAACGCCAGUAUUCUGGAGUAACGCCGGCGUCGGGCGGCGUCGGGCUCCUCCUCUCGCCGGCGGGGCUCCUCCCCUCGGUGGCGGCGGCGGGGCUCUUCCCCUUGGUGGCGGCGGCGUUGAAGAUCCGGCGGCGGGGCUCCUCCCCACCGUGGCUGGCGGCGUGCGCUCGGUCGAGAGAUUCCCUGAGUCCUUCGACAAGGGUUCUGAGUGGCGUGGGUUCGGGAGGAUCGAAGGGGGAUUAGAGAGGAUCCGCCCAUCCAAACCCCCUGUACCAAAUGGGCCGACGGUUUUUUUGGGGUUUCUGGCCCACGCGAGGAAAAUCCUCUUGAAACCCCUCCAAUCCACUCAGGCCAAACGAAGCCUAAAGAUGUCAGAUCUUUUUCUUUUUUGCAGGAUAAAGAUGCCAGAUCUUUACCAUGCUUACAACUAAUCUAAGCAAUCCAAACAAUUCAAAAAAGAGUAGUAGUAGUACCACUUGUAGAAUGUUUUCUCCCGUGAUUUGGGCCAUCAUUUGGGAGCGAUUUGUUUAUGCAACCGUGUAUGAUUAAAGUAUAUUAAAUGUAGUUCUAUUGCAUUCAAGUGUGCGCACAAAACAAAAGUGCAGCCAACCGUGGGCCGGGAGUCUACGCCCGCUGCAAAAGAGUAAAAGUACGUGCGUAGCCCGAGACAGCAUGAAGGGGUUGGGUUUAAUUGAACUGACGCCCCGACGGCGAAACCGGGGGCGGAAUUUGCAGGAACAGAAAUUACCAAACUCUUUUUUCAUCAAACAAAGCGAGCAAAACAAACGGAAUUGAAAACGAGAACACUGAGAAAAGCUCCGUAAAUUAUUUGAGGAAGAAGUAGAAAUACAGUAGUAAGAUUCUGGGAGACGAACAGGACAGGAACAGUGAAAAGCUCCGUGAAAAAACACCCAAAAAGGAAGGAAAAUGCUCUGCAGCGAGUACAGCUUUGCAUAUGGAAUAAUUGUUCAAGAACAAAGCUAUCACCGAACGCUAUAAUUAGGAAGACCCAUGAGGAGAAGCCGCAGUGAUCCUCCUCCACCCCCGUGAAGUUGCAACCCCAGACUAGAGAUCCCCGCCGCAGCAAACCUCUUGCUCGAGGCUUCAUUUGGUACAAUGAGGAAAAAACCGAGGCCCAACGGGGAUUUUGAGGAGGACAAGGAAAGAUCUCCCCUAGUGGUCAAUUCGCAACAAGAGGAGGAAAAUCGAAGAACUGGCAGAUGGAUCCACAGUUCCACACAAAGUUGCAGACAAUUCGCAAACAGAGUACUAACUGAAGAAAAAAAUCCCGAAUAAAUCGGCAAACGAAUUGGGCCUUCUACCACAGCGAUAUUUGACAGCAAUCGGUCUACUGAAACCAUGCCGUUGUUGCGAUUAACCCGAGAUGGCGAGAAUGAAACAAAGACACGCGCGUGCAGCAGCGUGAUAGGUUCGUACCGCGACGAUGCCAGAUGCGGAGACGCGGGAGCAGGGGCGCGCCAGGGCGGCGCGAGCGAUGGCCGCCACCGCCGUGGAGCCGACGAGCCGCUUCUCCGUGCGCUGGAGCCGGAGCCAGGUAGGCGGGCGGGCGGAGGGAGACGGGGCCGCGCCCGCGGUUUGCGCACCUGCGGGGACGAGGGAGGGGCGUGAGCAGCGGGCGACAGGGGGAAGAGCGCGGCAGACGGAGCCGGCCGCGG